GCCGAAGUGGCGGAAUGGCAGACGCGGCGGUCUCAAAAACCGCUGGGGUAACCCGUGUGGGUUCGACUCCCACCUUCGGCA
rnacentral:tRNA from 1 species